UGCUAACCUGGGCACCUCCAUAUUCUGCGAGAGUGGUCCAAGUAAUGGAAAAAAGACAAAAAAAAAAUUUUUUUUUUAGAAGUCCAAAUGGGGUCCAUCACAUGUGCAGCUACCUAUUUCUGCAGUUCUAACUAUACUCUCCACUGAACCAGAGCACAAUUCAGACCAUGCUUUCUUGUUUUAUGCAGACAAUUUGCACUCAGAAUGUGAGAUACACUGUAAAUAAUGACACCCACAAUGGAUGCCAUCUAAUCUGUUUAUGAUAAAUACUCCAAAUGCUUCUGCCCAGAUCUUAUGCCUCUCAAUUUUUUUCUCUUUUCCUUAUGUGUCUGCUGAAAAUAAACAGGGUCUAUUUAUCUUAUGCAGACAAUAAUAGUCCUUGGAAUUUUGAGAAAGAAGGAGUAUGAAAUCAGUGGGAGUCCAUGGAAUCAAGGGAAUCCAGCUGAUCUUCUCUGGAGGUGGCAGCACCAAGUCUUAUACAACAUAAAAAUGUAAAGGAAAAUGCCUUGACCAUUGCUGGCCCUGAUUCGCUUCUGUUGGAAAACAUUGUAUCAAGUCUCAAUAUUUUUGCUUAGUGCCAUCUGAGUUUAAUUUUCCCUGUGGCUUAAUCGCCCAUACAGUGGUGGAACCAUUAGGAUAUGAUUUGUGACACUGAAUAUCAGAUUUAAUGAAUUGGACAUCUGGAUGUCAUGGUGCAGAACAUAACACAUAGAUGUCUGUUUCCUGCUCAGCAGGCAGUAGUCUUCUCUAGAUGAGACUCAAGGAAAGGUACAUAUCUCUGCAAUUGGAGGUACCUUCGUUCCCCUGACCCAGCCAGUGCAAUUCAUUCCAUGUUCUUCAGGCUCCUCGUUAUUUUCUCAGGCUUUCUGUGGGUUAAAGCUUAUUCUACUAAGUGCCAGACGAGUUAAGGCUUAGAAAACACAUGAUGUAACCUCAGCUCUCACCUUUUAAUCACCGAGGUCCUGUGAGCAACUCUCCCUAAUGCUGGUGGUUGCAAAAUACUGUUUUCAUUUACAUCUUUAAUGGAGAUGAAUGGGUAUGCAGACUAAUCAUUACUGCUAUUAGGAAAUAGGCUUUCAAGCUGAAGGUAAAGGAGGGGGUAUUAUCAGAACUGAGCAUUUUUCUGAGUAUCCAUUUCAGACUAGGCUGGAUAAAGCCCUGUAGACAUUGCUGUAUGGAACAAUUUCACAUUCUUUCUAGGGCUGAAUCAGGUGGUCUGUCUGUAAUGGGCCUUUUUUUCCCUCUGCAGUCACUUCAAAAAUCCUAUUGUGAUGGAAAUGGCCGGCCAAAUCUGCUUCAAUUGCAUCCAGACUUCAAAAGUCAUUUCAUAACUGCUUUUGCUAUAGCUAUUUAAGGAAGAAUGGACACGAGAGCAGUAGCUUAAGAGACGGCCUGGAGUUCCCGUCGUGGCACAGUGGUUAACGAAUCUGACUAGGAACCAUGAGGUUGCAGUGAGAAGGCAGCCUGAGAUAAAUUACCCUGGAUAAUUUUAAUCAAGAGCUUAAUUUUAAUGAUCAUCUGCUGCACAAACAAAAUAAGAGAAGGAAUGAAACCAUCAUUAUCAAGGAUGACUGCAAUAGGGGAAAGGAGACCUCACUAUAGAACCGGCUCAAGUCCAGGUAUGGCCAUGGACGGGUGUGAAUUUAUAGCCAAGGAGCAAAGUGAAGGAUAGUGGAUAGAAAAUUACCAAAAGGAAACAUCAG